rnacentral:misc_RNA from 1 species
ACCGAAUGGACAUCUGCCGAAAUGUUCCGAUUACCGAGUUGAUACUUCCUAGUUCCUUGUUUAGGCUAAACUGGCUAAAGUUACUUGGCUUUGAAAGUUGACUUCAGCAACGUUAUUGCAGCUGAGUAUUCAGACUUAAAAUGGUGAAAGAAAGUGAUUUGAUAAAAGCAGUGAAACAAAAUGACCAGUCUAAAUUGCAGAAACUUUUGACAGAUCCCAAUAUUGUUAUCAACACACCUGAUCCAGGAAAGAGAAUCCGGCUACAGUUGAAUCAUCUGGACAUCAACUGCCACGAGAAAGGGUCAGAGUACACUCCCCUUAUUAUUGCAGCAUUAAAUGGAAAUGUCGCCUGUGCCGAAGCUUUAAUCUUCCAUUCAGCUGAUGUUAAUGCCACAGACUCCAAAGGAAAUACUGCUUUGCACAUGGCCGUAUUCUCUCUGAAUACUGAAAUGGUGGACCUCUACAUUGAGAAUAGUGCACAGAUUAACCUUAUGAAUAAUGAUGGCGACACAGCUCUUCAUAUUGCUUGUCGAAGUGACAUUGACAACAAUAUAAGUCUUCUUAUGAAACUUGUUGAUGCUGGGGCUGACACAGAGUGUGUUAAUCGAGCAGGGCAGAGUCCCAUGGAUAUGUUGGCCAUAUACAACAGAAAAAAGGCUUUGUCAGUAUUGUUGGAUUACAAUCCGUCUCUGCGCUCAAACACGCAUUCCUUGACGGAGGCAGCUAUACGAGGAAACCACGAAGUUGCUGAACUCCUCCUGGAUUAUGGGAUUGAUCCGAACUGUGUUUAUGCUGAAAAACAAACUGCACCACUCCACGAAGCAGUUCGCUUUAAUAGGUAUAAAGUUGCUGAAGUCCUGCUGGCAUUUGGUGCAUCUUCGGACAUGAAAAACAACAAGAAUGAGACACCUGAGUCACUGGCAAAGGAUCAACUGGCGGCUGUGAGUGUUGAGUUUUUCAAACUGUUUGAAGCUUAUAAAAACGUCGCUCCACGAAUUCCUCGAUUUGUGACAAAUAAGGGGCUUACUUUGGAUAAACAAGUUUGUUGCAAAGGUGUGCCAGAGUUUCCACUAAUACCCAAUAAAAGUCGCUGGACAGAAAACACUCCAACAUAUUGCAGUACAUGCACUGAGAAAAACACAAACCUCCGUAUACUGGACAAUAAUCCGCAUACGUACUGGGUGAUUCCUGUUCUACAUCAUGCGUGGACUGUCCUUAACCUUCAAGAAGAAUAUAUCAUUUCUGGAAUCACUGUUUUUGGAUGGAACAGUCCACAGAUGGUGAAAACUGUCGAACUCCAGUGGGCAGAUAAUGUAAAGGGCCCCUGGAGCACAUUCACGACAAUCACCUGUGACCAAGAAGGCAGCUCAGAUCCACAAGAUCCAGGUGUUCCCCAGACGUUCUGUGGUUUUGAAAUGCAAGCCCAGUUUUUGCGUCUUUACAUCCAGGACAACCAUGGCGGCAGCUGUAUCUGUUUCCAGGGGAUACAGCUGCACGGAGCGCAGUGUGCACUGUUCACACUGUUGGAGAAGUGUGGACUGUCUCAGUACUCACGGAUGUUGGCUAAAAAGGGCUUUAAUACCAUACAGUCUCUGCUAAAUCUAAAAGAUGAAGAUAUUGGAGACAUGAUUUUUGAUCCAGUGGAUUCAGCUAUUUUAUCUCAGAGAAUUCUACAAAUGCGACGGGAAGAAUUCCCACUAACAUCUCUGGAGUGGCUAAGAGAACCUGUGUCACGGUCAUUUGCUGGUGACCUUCUCCCAGACUUCAGUGUACAGUCUAAUGCAGGAGCGUGUGAUGAUGUCGAGCUUUUUAUUGAAGGAGCUGAAUUUAGUGGCACCCCAAUAGUCAGACUAGCUCCACUGUUUGAAGAGGAAGGAUCGGUGGCCAUAUUUUCCGAUAUUCGAAUAAAAACAGGCUGGUAUUUCAAGCCCUGACUUGAUCUUUCAAACACGAAACCUGUGUGACAGUUGUUAUUAAUAGCCACUGACUUGUUGGCCAGUUUUGUAUUCGACUGAGAAACACAUCGCAGCCAAAAAUCAGUAUUGAAUCUCCUCAGAUGAUAGAAAUUCGUCCUGCAAAAAUAGGAAGUGCUGACUUGGACGCAGCGUUUGACGAGAUCCAGGGCAUGCUGAG